rnacentral:snoRNA from 1 species
UUUUAUAUGAUGUACAAAUAUCACGACGGUCAACUGAGCCAUAUUGCUUUGAUGACACUUGCCUGUGACAAGGCACUUUACCCUGAUA